AGUUGUUCCAUGGGGGUUUGAGGUGUGGAGGAGGAGUCAACGGAGCUUGGUGUCUCUCUGGCUGAGGUUACGAGCCCUUUGACAUCUUAAAAAUCUCAUCCGACCCACAAGACAUCUCAGUGAAAUAGGUGUUAUUACUCGGACUUUUCAGAGGAAGAAUCGGACCUUCAGAAAAGGAACUGAGGUUGUUCACAUCACCUGUGUGUGGAGCUGAGACUGCAACAGAGCCUAUUCUUCUGACUUUAAGAUGAGUGCAUGCCUCCAGCUCCCAAAUGGCCACAAGGGUUGGAGUAAAAGUAAUUCUUGACGUCAAGCUAUUAGCUGAACUGACAUGUUUCUGAGCGGCUGCUCGCCUGAGGACUCACAGAACCACUCUAAGGAAAGGAGGAGUCAAUGCAUUCCUAGACUCACUGAAUCCAGGAAGUGGACAGAACCCUCACAUUCUCUGGCCCACACCUUCAAUAUUCAGAUGGGGGGAAACGCAGCCUACAGAGGAAUAUGGCACAUCCAAAAUCAGGUACUGAGUCAGGAUCAAGGCUGGGACUUCACCCACUUGUCAUUGUCAUCUGCACAGACAUACUCACUUCUGCUGGCUUUUUAGCCACCAGCAAUAUUAUGAGAUCGUAACUACUCUAAAAGCCUCAACGUCACUGUGAGGCAAUGUAACAUUUUCCACCAGCAUGGACAGGGACAGAAGAACCAUGGAUGGAGGGAGGCCAGUAUGCUCCCAUCUCAGCUGUCAUUUUGCAUUUGAUCCCUUCUGUGCCAGCAACUGGAUUUAUUGCUGGUUAGAACAGUGACUCACGGUCCUUUGACGCCAACCAACUAAUUUAUCCUGCUAUGCUUAGUAGGUACAAAUGUUUAGCAUGUGGUCAAAAAUAGAGAUCCCUCACCCUCCACCCCGUCAUCCCGGCCCUUAACUCUUGCUUGAGCUAAGGACUUUCUCAAACCCACGUCAAACUUUUGCCUCAAAUGUAAUUGGCUUUAUUUUAGGUAUCACUGACUUGUAACCCAGUCAUGAAGGCUAGCAAAAUAUAAAAGGCAAGACUCUCACCUAGGAGUUCCCUGCCCCAAGUCUAUCCUCACUUCUUUUUUAAAACUGAUUUGUCACCUUUGGCAACUCAUUUCUUCUCUCUGAGCCACAUUAUCCCCAAAUGAGAGGGUUAAAUUGGGUGAGUUUUGGUGGAUUGUCUAUUUUAAGGAGGUUCUUAUAAGAUUAUGCUUUUAUCAGAGGCAUCUUGCUACAUCUCAGGUUUUCUCUAUCAUCCUGAUAUGCUUUGGGGAUGAGGCUCUGUUCUCAAUGGAGUUCUGCUCUAUUUCUAAAAUGAUGAGGAGCUCCUUGAAAGCUAAGAACGAUGUCAGUUUAACCUGGGUGAAAUUAACUUCAGGAUUAGCAAUGGGGGCACAACAAACUUCAGAACUUGACAUGAUUUAAGUUUUCUCUCUUGCAUUACAGUAUUUCUUUUGAAACCUACUUCCCAGGCCAAAUGGACAGGGCACCCACUGUAAGCAUCUAAGAAGUGAAAAUGAAUUCAGAGGAAAACCCUACAGGGCUAAAAAUAAAUGAGGUGUUUUAUUUUAAAAGUCACAGAUAGCUUUGACUCUGGAGAGCUGGCUGUGUAUUGAUUUUUCUAACAUGACUGUGAGAACUUGGGUCUGAAACUUGAGUCUCUCCAUCUACUUAUUCAGCUAGUAUUUCUUAAGUGCCUGUGUAGUGCCAGGCAGUUUGCUAUGGCUGUGGGAAAACAGCCAUAAUAUUAAUACUACCCUGAUCCUAAAAAACUUAAACUCUUCCAGAGAUGAUUUGGCAGGUGCCCAGAUCAUUAGGUUUUUGUUUGUUUUGCUUUUCAGGGCCGUACCUGUGGCAUAUGAAGUUCCCAGACUAGGGGUCGAAUUGGAGCUACAGCUGCCAGCCUACAGCACAACCACAGCAACUCGGGAUCCGAGACUUGUCUGUGACCUACAUCACAGCUCACGGCAAUGCCGGUUCCUUUAACCCAUUGAGCGAGGCCAGAGAUCACACCUUCAUCCUCAUGGAUACUAGUGGGGUUGGUAACCUGCUGAGCCACGACGAAACUCCCGGGAUCACUGUAGUUUAAGGCAGUGGCUUCAACACCAGGAGAAAUCUUGGGGCUUCAGAGGAGGGUAACAUUCUGUUUCCCUGACGGUGCUUCCCAGAGAGAGUGGCAUCCUCAGUCUUGAUGGGGAUCAGCAAGAUUUUAAUUCAGUGUCAAUAAGCCAGAGAUGGGGGAGCUUGCCUCUUUGUGAUUCUUUUUUUUUUUUCCUUUCAUCUAUAGAAUGUGAUAAUAAUAGUAUCAGCCUCAUAGACUUGUGAGUAAUAUGUGAUUUCAUAUGUAUUAAAGCUCUUAGAAAAGUUCCUGGAACAUUGUAAGUGCUCAAAAACAUUAAUCAUUAUUUUUAUUCUUAGCAUCAGAGUAAAAUUACCCUCAAAGUUUCUUACAGUCUCAAGAGCGAGAUCCAUGGAGGGAAGCCCCGUACC
rnacentral:lncRNA from 1 species